rnacentral:rRNA from 1 species
UACGGGGGGGGCAAGCGUUGUUCGGAAUUACUGGGCGUAAAGGGCUCGUAGGCGGCCAACUAAGUCGGACGUGAAAUCCCCAGGCUCAACCUGGGAACUGCGUCCGAUACUGGAUGGCUUGAAUCCGGGAGAGGGAUGCAGAAUUCCAGGUGUAGCGGUGAAAUGCGUAGAUAUCGGCAGGAACACCCAGGGGGAAACCAGUCGACUGGGCAUCUACUGACGCUGAGGUGCGAGAGCGUGGGGAGCGAACCGG